CCUACGGGAGGCAGCAGUGAGGAAUAUUGGUCAAUGGCCGAGAGGCUGAACCAGCCAAGUCGCGUGAGGGAAGACGGCCCUACGGGUUGUAAACCUCUUUUGUCGGGGAGCAAAGCGAGUCACGUGUGACUCAUUGAGAGUACCCGAAGAAUAAGCCACGGCUAACUACGUGCCAGCAGCCGCGGUAAUACGUAGGUGGCAAGCGUUAUCCGGAUUUAUUGGGUGUAAAGGGCGUGUAGGCGGGAGCGCAAGUCAGAUGUGAAAACUCAGGGCUCAACCCUGAGCCUGCAUUUGAAACGGGGUUUCUUGAGUGCUGUAGAGGCAAUCGGAAUUCCGUGUGUAGCGGUGAAAUGCGUAGAUAUACGGAGGAACACCAGUGGCGAAGGCGGAUUGCUGGACAGUAACUGACGCUGAGGCGCGAAAGCGUGGGGAGCAAACAGGAUUAGAUACCCGUGUAGUC
rnacentral:rRNA from 1 species